AGUAAUUCUAAGCAUGCACACCAUAACAGCCAGCACCAAUCUAAGACAUUGAGGAGGUACACUCAAGAGCAUCCUGACCAAUUCCUACCUCACUCUUCAUUAAGGAUCUAGCCUGCGUGCUCUGCUGGCAGCAUCCAGUGGCCACCUCCACCACGCCAUUCAUCAUUCUGUACUGUCCCUGCACAUUUGUCUUUCUCUUCCCUGGACUGUAAGAUGUUAAAAGACAGUACUGGACCUUGUCUUAUUUCCUGUGUGUAUCUCAAUAUUCAACACAUACUAGGAGCUAAAAAAGAAAAGGAUUAAAUAAAAAAUGGAUUC